rnacentral:rRNA from 1 species
UACGGAGGAUCCAAGCGUUAUCCGGAUUUAUUGGGUUUAAAGGGUGCGUAGGUGGGAUAAUAAGUCAGAGGUGAAAGCUAGCAGCUUAACUGUUAAAUUGCCUUCGAUACUGUUAUUCUUGAGUAUAGUUGGCGUUGGCGGAAUGUGACAUGUAGCGGUGAAAUGCGUAGAUAUGUCACAGAACACCGAUCGCGAAGGCAGCUAACGAAACUAUCACUGACACUGAUGCACGAAAGCGUGGGGAGCAAACAGG